rnacentral:lncRNA from 1 species
UUUCAUUUAAUUUUAAAAAGAAUUUAUUAGCUGUUGGUUCAAACGAGCAUAAAAUACAUAUAUACAAUUUAAAUAAUUUUUAUUACUUUCGAAAAAGAUAUAAUUAUGACGAAGCUAUAAAAUAUUUCACUAAAUUAUUAAUGAAUAAAAAAAUAAAAAUAAAUAACUUGUUUAAUAAUACUUCUGAUGAUAAUUUUAUGUCUCACCUUGACAAUAGUAGUAAACGUAAUGGCAAUCGCACUGGGAUAUUAAAAGGGCAAAACGGUAAACAGGUAAACAAAUUAAAAAGUAGUGACAAAAAAAAUGCUUUAUUUUUAUCAAUAAAGAAAAGAACGAGCAAAGGUACUGGCAAAAGAACGAGUAAACGCACAAGCAAAGGCAUAACCAAAGGCAUAAACACAUGUCCCAAACAGUUGACGCAUUUGUUAACCGAUGAUAAAAAAAACAAAAACGCGAAUUAUACAAAAGAAGAAGAAACAUUAAUCAACGAACAGAAUGAACAAAACCAAAUCGUUCAAUCAUAUUUAUUAGAUAAAAUUAAAAACAAUAUUAACAAUGAAUUAUAUAAAGGUAAAGAAAAUUUUUAUGAUAAUACUCGGGUAAACAUGAUGGGAAAUUGUUUAUCUGAUAGUGUUUAUGAGCGAGUACGUAAAAAGUGCGUACAAAUAAAAAGAAAUAAAAAGGUAUGCGAUAAAUGUGCACAAAAAUAUAAAAAAAAUAACUUAACUUAUUUAAGUGAAAACAAAAUAACUGAAGUGGCACCCUUUUCUUUGUUAGAUAGUAGUAUCUUAAGAUACGUAAAAAAAAAAAAAAAAAAAAAAAAAAAAAAAAAAAAAAAAAAAUUAAACAAAUUAAACAAAUUAAACAAAUUAAACAAAUACUAAACGAGGAAAGUGGCAUAUAUACAAAAUAUAUGAACAGGGACAGUUGGAAAAGACAGAACGAUUGUUUAUUAUGUGAAAGCAAAUCAUAUUCUUCAGAUCAUUUUUUAAUGAAUAAUAGUAAAGAAAAACAUUCGUACAUGCAACAACAUACCGAUGUUGACGUUGUACAACAUUUUAAUCGUUUUCUACAUAAGUAUGAACACUUUUUAAUUAAAAAAUAUUAUGAGUUUAAUAAUUUUUAUGUCAACAAGAAAUUGUUUGAUGGUAGGGCCGACUUAAUUUGGAAUAAGGGGGGUAAUUCGCACCCAUGUGGAGCAUGUUUGCGUGUUAAUAGUAAUGAUGGUAAUAGUAGUAGUGGUAGUGGUGGUGGUGGUGGUAGUGGUAAUGUUAGUGGUAACUGGCGUAACACAUACACUCGUGGCAACAAAAUGAGUACCAAAAGAGCUAACAAAAUAAUAUGUGAUACACUUAAACCCCCCAAUUACAUUCCCUUAAGCAUAAAAUCGCUUUUUUAUAAUAGAAAAGAAAAUUUAAAAAACAUGUUAUUUACAAUAGCCUAUCAUGAAUCAGGUGAUAUUUUUUUAUUUUUACUAAAAGAAGCUGGGUUACAUAAAGAACUUGAAAAAAUAAACAAAAUUAUAAACUGCUCUGAUAAUAUUCUUAGUAAUGCUGCGUCGGGUAUAAAAAGAAUCAAAAGAAAUUAUAUUAAAAAAUUUUGCCCUUAUUAUUAUAAUAAUAUAAAACUGUUUAAUGAUAACACGGUAGUAAUGAAUUUUCAAAAAUAUAUGCCAACUUGGUAUAUAAGAUACGUGUAUAGAGACAUUGUAAGAAACGGUAUGAUUAGGAGCUCCUCUCGGUUGGAGAGGAAGACAUUAGGGGAUGGGAAUGGCAGUAGUGGCAGCAACAGCAAACGUGGAGGCAGCAUAAGUGAAUACAACAUAAAUGAAUACAACAUAAGUGGAUACAACAGAAGUGGAUACAACAGAAGUGGAUACAACAGAAGUGGAUACAACAGAAGUGGAUACAACAGAAGUAAAUAUAACAGAAGUAGCAAUAGCUGUAUAUUGCCAAAAGAAGCAAUAAAAAACAAAUUUGAGUAUUUAAAGUGUGAAAAUGAUUAUCACAUUAUCACAAAACAAAACAAAAUGAAUAGUAAAAAAAAGUUAAAUAAAUAUAAUAUAAAAAAGCAAAACAUGUUUAUCAAUAACGAUAAAAUUAAGCUGAUUAAUAAAGAGUUAUAUAUAAAAAAUUCUAGUGAUGAUGAACCAUUAAAUGAUAAUGAUAUUAUACUAUAUAGUUCAAAAAAAUCGUAUAAUUUGAUGGAAAAGGUGACUGAGUAUGUUGUUGUCGCUUCGGAGAGUUAUGAUGUAGCCACUGUUGAUUAUGAUAACCGAUUAGAAUAUGACGAAAAAAGUGGAAUGUUUGAUGAUGACACACGUAGGAAGAUUGGACGCGACAAAGAAAAGAAGAAACUAAUAAUGUACACUCAUAUAUACAAUUAUAAAAAAGCGAAUUUCGUCUUAAAAUGCAUCAGUCAAAAUUUUCGCAAAUUUAUAAAAGAUAGACACAACUUGUCAUUCUGUCGUAAACAUUAUUUAUGUUCAAACGAUGAUAAUAUAUUGAUAGUACUAAAUAAAAAAAAAAGUAGAAAGCAUAAAAAUGAGUAUACGAAUACUACUAUAAAAUACAAUAACGAAUUAAAAAUGAUAGUUAAGAAUAUACAAAGGAAUGUAUGUGAAGAGUUUAAAUUAAACCAUAAAAACCGUUAUUAUAAUUUUGAAUCUGAAAAAGAAGGAGAAAAAGCUAAUGUGCCUUUAGAAAAAAAAAAAAAAAAAAUUUUGAUAAUAUGUGAGUUGCGUGAUCAUAAUGGUAAUACUUUAGACAUAGUAUAUUUAUUAAAUGAAAAAAAUCAAAAUGAUUGUCAAAAUUUGAAUGAGGUUUUAUCUGCACAUGCUAGAAAUGCAAACUGCUACAAGACUGACUAUGACUAUUCAUUAAAAAACAAGGGCUCUACUCGCAAUCGUAAUAACAGUAUAGGUAGUCUUUGCGAUAACAUAAAUAAUAGUUAUACUAGUAAUCUUAAUAGUAGAAGUGGAAAUAAUAACAAUAAUAUAAACAGUACUAAUCGUAGAAAUAGUAUUAAUAUAGGUGUUGAAGAGAAAACGUUGUCGAAACGCAUGCCUACAACAAAUGAAAUGAAACGUCUACAAUAUAAAACAGAAAAAGAAAAAGAAAGAAUUUUAAAAAACGAGUUGUUUAAAACUUCAGAGCAUAUUCAAGGUAUUAUAAAUCAUACAAUAGAAAUGGAGUUAAGCGAUAUAAAUAUAUAUAAUAACGGUUUGAUGAGUAAAGCAAAAAUGGAACACUACAAUAACACCAGAAAGGGUAAUGCCAAUUUGGGUGGUAGUGACAGUGGUAGCGGUAGUGGUAGUGGUAGCGGUAGUGGUAGUGGUAGCGGUAGUGAUAGUGGUAUUGGUAGUGGUAGUGGUAAUGGUAGUGGUAGUGGUAGUGGUAAUGGUAGUGGUAGUGGUAGUGGUAGUGACAGUGGUAGCGGUAGUGGUAGUGUUAGUGGUAGUGGUAGUGGUAGUGGUAGUGAUAGUGAUAGUGGUAGUAAUUUCACACCCAAGUCACAAAGUGAUACCGAAUGUAAUUUCCAUUCCAUACCAAGUGAAGAAAAUGAAAAUGGUAUUAGUAGUAACCAUAUUAUCGAGGACACAAUCGUCGGUAAUACCAAUUUAACUACUGAUAACAUAAAUUUAAACACAAAUGCAAUUGCAGUUCAAUUAAGAAUUAAUUUUGGAAAUACAAUCAGCAUGAUAAAUAAUGAUGGUCUCUUACAAAUACAUGAUGUAUCAAAUCGAACUGGGUAUAACCCAAGUGUAGUGGAUCCAGACUUUUUAUUUUUACAUGCAACAAAUGGGUUCAGAACAUUACAUAAUUUUUUUAUAAAUAAUGUUAAUGUUGUUGGUAGUAGAACGGUGUCUGAGGUUAACAACUUGUCUAGUGAAAACAUAAACAAUAAUUUAAUAAAUGAAAGUACAGAAGGAGUUGUAAAUUAUUCUUUGAUAAAUAGUACAAAUAAUAUUUCAGAUUUACCUCAUGUGAAUAAUUUAAGACUAUUUAAUAUUCCAACUAGUAAUAUGAAUAGGACUAAUGAUGACAUUAUUGAUCAUAAUGUUCGUUUAGUCCAUGAUGUUAAUACACAACAACAAUUAAUUCAAUCUGCUGUACAAAACAAUAAUUAUGUACUUUUUAAUUUGUUUUAUAAUAAUUGUUUAAAUAUAGGGAAUGGUAUACUAAAUACAGAUAACAAUGAAAUAUUUAUUUAUAUAAAUCGAUCUUUAAUUAAUGAUAAUAUUAUAGAUGUUAAUGUAUUACAUGGUGGUGUUGGUGGUGGUGUUCAAAGUGCACAAGAAGGGACUGGAAUUAUAACUUACGUAAACGACAACAAUUUACAUCAAAACGAAAUAACUACAACAAAAAAAAAAAUGAGCGAUUAUAAAAACUAUGAAUUAUUAAAAAAAGAUACAAAUGAUAUGUCAAAAAAAAAAAAUUUAAAUAAUAUAAAAAAUGAGGAUACAGAAAAAAUGUCUGACGAGCAAACUGUUUUUUAUGAAAUACCUUUGACUGUGGAAAGUAUGUUUUCAAAGGGAAAAUAUGACAAAACAAUUAAAUAUAUAUAUACACUAUCAAAAAGUGCGGAUCAAAUAUUAUUUGAGUAUAAUAAUGGUUCAGGCAAAAAAAAAGAAAAAAAAAAAAAUAUAUCAUCUUCGUAUGAUAUUGUCAUUGUUUAUGAAGGCCUGAAUGAACAUAUGGCUCAAAGAUGCACUUUAUUAAAUACAGCAUGUUUGGAUAAAAAGAAUUAUGAACCAAUGGAAGAAGAAAGAAAUGGUGAGUGUUUGUUUCUUGAUUGUAAAAAGGAACAAGAAGAUGAAAAGGGUGUGGAUGUGGAUGUGGGUGUGGCUGUGGAUGUGGAUGUGAAUGUGGGUGUGGCUGUGAAUGUGAAUGUGGGUGUAGAUGUGAAUGUGGGUGUAGAUGUGAAUGCGAAUGGAUUGGUGAAACAGCAUGUGUCGGAACAUUCAAAUGUUACUUGUAUUACUAAAUGUGGGCAAGAAGAUAGUGAAAAGGAUUAUGUAAAUGAAUAUUCGGUUACAGGUGUUGCUACAACAAGUGCUAAGACAAGUAUGCCUAUAGAUACCCGUACAAGUGGUGGUGUGAAUAAAAUCUCAAUGAAACAUUACAAUGAGCCCACAUGCAACAGUAGACUUUUUGAUAAAGCUACCAGUUUUAUUAAGGAUAAAUUAUCAUUCGAACUGUCAAGUUGUUCCUACGACUACUCGUCAAGUAAUUCAAGUAGCGAUUUUAGUAUGAUUGAAGACUCAUCGUGCGACUACAAUGAUAGCAGUUAUAAAUAUAAUUCCAUGUAUGAUACGAAUAAUUAUUAUGGCAAUAAUAAUAAUAAUAAUAAUAAUAAUAACAAGGGUGGUAAUUUUAAGUGUUCUAAAUGCGAAAGUUCAGCUGAUCUGUUUGUUUAUGAUAGUACUAUUAUUAACUUUCAAUCUGUAUACAAUUUUUUAAAACAUGAACAUUAUAUUUUAUAUGUAAAUGAUUAUGAUGUUAUUAUGAAAAAUAGUAAAAAAAAGCAACGAGAAACAAACUAUUAUUUAAAAAAAAGAGUAAUGAAUAAAAAUUUCAAAGAGGGAACCGAUGGACUUGUAAAUGUAAUACAAAGGUGUGGCACCACUAGUAACUGUAGUAACAUUGAAAAAGACAAGAAUAAAAAAAGAAAAGGCAUAAAAAAACAUCCAAAACUUUUCACUCUACAUAUUAAAGAUUUUAAAAAAAAAGAAUGUAAUAGUUGUUAUUUAAACUCAGGUAAAAUGAAUAAUAAAAUUAAAGUUAAAAACAUUGCUACUAAAAAAGAAAAAAAUAUAAUAAUAUAUAAUAAGCCUAAUGAUUUUUUUAUAAAACAUACAUUAAUACAUAAAUAUUUAUUACAACAGAAUUGUUAUGAAGAUAAGAUGAUAAUAAAUAAGAUGCCCAAAUUGAAACAUAAGGUUAGUAACAACAAUAAUAUAGGUGAGCGUACAUCGAUUAUAAAAACCAAAAUAAUAAAACAUUUGAAUCAGAAUAUUAGCUCAUUUGUACAGUUUAAAAGUAGGAAAGUUAAAAAUGACCUUUACAGUGAAGACGUUUUAAAAAUUUUAAAAAGCAUGUAUUAUAAUAAAGAAACCUUACCC